AGGCCUAGAUCACCGCUUUCACAAGUUCCAAGAAGGAUUUACAAAGGGCUUAGCACACUACUCAGCACACAGAAAGAUAUUGCUCAGAACCAGCUCAUCUGUCUGUCGGGAACGUGAAGGGAAAGGGACUUCUCCCAGCUCAGAGGUAAGGCGACGUGAU